CUCCCGCUUUCCCCUCGCCAUGUCCGGGGACGGCGGCGGCAGGCACACGGCGGAGCUGCGAGCGGAGCUCUACUUCCUCAUCGCCCGCUUUCUGGAGGACGGGCCCUGCCAGCAAGCGGCUCAGGUCCUGAUCCGAGAAGUGGCGGAGAAAGAG